UAAUUUUCUUGGGGUUUCAUCAAGAUCCAAAAGUUGUUCUGAAAAGGAUUCAUCUUCAUAUUUACGUGCAGUGACCUCCGAACGAAGUGCAAUAAUACAAAAAUUCGAAUUGAAAAUAUCUAGCCUAACACGAAAAGGAGACAUAUCAAAACCCACGGCUGCAAGGUCGUCAACAUCAUUGUUAAAUCUCUCCAAGUCCUCUACUUGCAAAGAGUAUAAAGAAAGAUUGUGUAGCCCGAGAACAAAGUUGGUGAGUUGAUCUAUGAAGAAGGUUUUGGCAGGGGUUGCUUUAAUAAUCAGUUGGUCAAGUAUAUGCGAGAAUCGAGCUAGGAGACGCUAUAGAUUUUCCUGACUAGAAGAGGAAAUCUGAAAGCCCCUCCAAGAAACAAGAUUUUCACUUGGAUUGAAGGAAGCUCUAGCGGGAGCUAUUUUAGAAGCUAUCAUAGAAUUCAUCGAGACAAGGGAUGAAGGAGCAGGUGGUUGUUGUACUGCUGAUGACUCCUUGAAGCCUUAGCCAUCCAGAGGAUAAUCAAGGUCACUAUACAAUGAGGUGGCAACAUCCGAAUGAAGAGCAUCAAAUAAAGCAAGUGCCUCAACAGGCAAAGACAAAUCUUUUAUCUUCUCGCUCUGAAAAACAAAAUGACAAACAUAAUAUAUUAUGAAAAAUAAUAAUAAUAAUAAAUCAAGAAAAUUAGUCCAUACUUUUGUUUUGAACAAGAUUGCUUAAAGAUUUUCCUAUUUAUUUUCACAACAUUAUUGAGAGAAUUUGUAUCACAGUAAGGUGAAACAAAAAAAUUCUUAUGGUAUGUGCAUACUAAAAAAUGAAAUAAAAAAAUAGGAAUAUAGGUUAGUUAGUUCUAAAAAAAAUCAUGCAUGAGUUAUUAAAAGCAUGUGAAGAUUUCACUAAUCAGAAUAACAUAAAACGUACACACAUGAAAUUAGAAGCAGACACUGUUGGAAAUUUAUGGAAGAUGCUAAAUUAUAGAAGAAGUGAAAUAUAACUUUGAAGAACACUUAAGAAUACUUUCAUUUCACUUGCUUUAAAUGAACUAAGUACAUGACAAAUUAUAAUACUCAUAGGAUACUUCUAGAGUUACCAUAAUAAUUACUAGAUGACUAAAUUCAUGAACAUAAACCUAACCAUUACAUGUUCCAAGAUAUUUUAAAUACAUUCAUAUACAUACAUGUAUAAUGUAUUUAGACAUUACACUUAAUAAUUCAUGAACAUUCUAGAAUUAAUUUGGUUUAGUUAACAAGGCCUCCCGUAAACUAAAUUUAUGUUUCACAAUGUCGCAAAACCUUUUGAUCUUUCGAUUCCUUCAAACGCUAGAAACUCUUUUGCUAUUUCCACGGAUGUGAAUGACAUAAAUAAUGUUUUUUGUUUGCUAGAUCGUAAGUCAGGCUUCUGAAAAUCAGUUAAAGCAAUACGAUCUAGGACAACUUUUAAAUCUUCUAAUUGCUUCAAGUGUAUAAUCUGUGCAAGAAACUCUUCCAUAUCAACACGUAAUAAUUCCCUUUGUUUCUCUAGUUUCUGCCUCUUCACCUUAAGUUCUUCAAUGGAAUCAUUCAGCUCUGUCCAUUCCUUGCCUCUUCUUAACUUCACGAUCCAAAUUGAUUUCUUUUCUCUCACUAUCAAGUCUAUUCAUUUUUAAAUUAACUUGUUCUAUUUCUUUUGCCAAUGUUUCCCUUAGUGAAGUAAUAUGCUGUAAUUCUUGCUUCAAAAGAAUAGUUCCAUCUUACCGUUUUCCUAUCAAUUCACUUUGGCAAAUAUCCCAUCAUUUGGUGGCACAUCACACUCAUCUCCAGUUGCUAGUUUACCAUUCUCUCCAAAUGCAUAUUAUGGCUUCACUAUUAGGAGGACCUUCUCUUCCUUCUUCAUUGUCUUUAUGACUUUUGACAUAGCAGGACAGAGAUACCAAUCUUUCACAAUGAACUCCACCCCAUUAGAUUUCAAAAUUAGCAUUCCAUCCUCAAGCCUAGCCUCAUAUUUAACUAAUACUUCAUCUAGGUCUUUAGGAUUUCGCCAGUUUUCUCCUUCAGUAAGUAUCUUCUUGAAUAUUCCUCCAUCUUUACAUAUAUCCUUGACACUUGAGACCAAGAGAGCAACUCAACCUCAAACUGGAUUCCAUCAAGCAAAGUACCCACAUAAUGAACUUUAACUUCAUCACCAGAGCCAGGAUGUUCCCAUCCUUCACCUUCCUUAACCAGCUUCUUGCUUAGCCCAUUCUUUCCUAUCUCCACAAAAUUCAUCAGUCUAAAUACCAAAUCAUAAUUUUUGAUAUUCAAAAUAUUUUUCUCAUGCUCAUCCAAAUUUUUGAACUCUUUCUUUUCAUCCUUUUCGUCAACAAUCUCUUCUAUUUUUUUAAUUUCGACUAUUUCUUCGUUGUUUGUUUUCUUCUUAUUAUUUUACCUCUUCAAAUGCUUCUUUACUUGGCGUCUCUUUCAUUUCUCCUUUUUUAUCUUCAACUUUCAUAAUUUUAUCAACACAAAUCUUUUCGUCUUCUUCUUUCGAGAUAUCUUCAAAAAAUUCUGUUUUUCUUUCUUCUUCAACUUCAUCAAUUUCUUUUACAAGUUUCUCAUCUUCUUUCAAAAACCGAGACUCUUUAGAUAAUGAUGGACCUUUAUAAUUAUUGCAAAUCAAUUUAAGUUCAUUCCAUAACUGAGAUAAAGAAUCAAAACUCGCAACAUGUUUCCAAACUUCUUCAUGCAUUACUCCUUGCAAAAUCUUCCUUGUUCUUUUUCCUUUCAUUUCUCGAACUUUUUUUGAAAUACAGUUUUCUGGAUUUGCAAUGACAUCUUACCAUAAAUUGCAAGUUUCAAGAAAUACUCUAAUCCUUAUGCUUCAAACUUUGUAAUUUGUGACCACUAAUUUUGCACCAAACCUAGGAAACAUCAUUUUUCUAUAAUUUACCUAUCCAAAAUGUUAUCAAUAUGACGACCUUUGUGACGUGCUUCAACUCACAAACUUAUUUUUCAAAUUUCUUCUCAACUAGCACCUUUGCUAGUUUGAAGUCCGGAGCUCUAACGCGCACACUUUACACUCGCCCAACGGAACACUUCGAUGACAACACGUCACCUCUCUUGGGUCGUCUACCUUUACUUCACUUUGGUUUAACCUUUUUUAAACCUUCGAAUUAACCUUAGCUUUGAUACCACUUGUUGGAAAUUUAUGGAAGAUGAUAAAUUAUAGAAGAAGUGAAAUAUAACUUUGAAGAACACUUAAGAAUACUUUCAUUUCACUUGCUUCAAAUGAACUAAGUACAUGACAAAUUAUAGGACUCAUAAGAUAAUUCUAGAGUUACCAUAAUAAUUACUAGAUGACUAAAUUCAUGUACACGAACCUAACCAUUACAUGUUCCAAGACAUUUUAAAUACAUUCAUGUACAUACGUGUAUCAUGUAUUUAGACAUUACACUUAAUUAAUUCAUGAACAUUCUAGAAUUAAUUUGGUUUAGUUAACAAGCACGAAUUAUAUAGUAGUACUACCUUUUUAUGUUGCUAUAAUAAUUAUACUGCAUGGUUUGUUUCUCAUGGAUUCGAACAUUCCAGUCAAACCGUUUAUAUAUAUAUAUAUAUAUAUAUAUAUAUAUAUAUAUAUAUAUAUAUAUAUAUAUAUAUAUAUAUAUNNNNNNNNNNNNNNNNNNNNNNNNNNNNNNNNNNNNNNNNNNNNNNNNNNNNNNNNNNNNNNNNNNNNNNNNNNNNNNNNNNNNNNNNNNNNNNNNNNNNAGAAAGUAUUUGCUAUGGAUGAGAAUUGGGCAAAUAGCAUCAUAACCGUUCAUCCCAUUAAUUAAGGGGGCAGAUUAAAAAAUGGAACUCCCCGUACGCCAGUUCGUCUAGCGGACGUCAAUUAUAAAAAUUUCAACCGAAUUUGCCCUCAUCUCAUACGCUACUUGAAGUAGUGGAUCUAUCUUUUCUCUUUCUUCAGAUACGUGAUUUUAACUUUUGAAUAUUUGAUAUCGAUUAUAACAUCAGAUUCAGAGAUUACAUCCGCUCUUUACAAAAUCGAUUAUAAAACUACUUCACAUAAUCGAUUAUAAAACUUCUGAGAUAUAGGAAAUUCAUAGAUAUGGGAAAUUCAGAGAUUUGGGAUGACUUCAUAGAUUUAGAUUUUGGAUACGAAAUCGAUUAUAACUUCAGAGAUUUGGGAUGAAAUUGGCUUCAGAUAUUUUGAAUGCGAAAUCGCAGAUAGCGAAAGAUUUAUAAUUCUGAAUAACUUCUUCAGAUCUUUCUAACAGAUCUCGAAUUGUAUGCCUUGCCUCCCAAAUAUACACACAGAUCUCGCAGGGAAUACGUUUUUAAUCUACAGAUCUCGAAUAUGAAGCUUCACAAAUAUUAUGCUAGCAAAUAUUAAACCAAAUAUAACAGAUCUUCAUCUGGAGGAAAAAAUUUCUCACGUUAAAUACGAGUUCAAUGAUAAAUGCAUAGAAUUGGUGCAGAGAAUACAGAACAAUUCAGAAAAUAAUUCAGUUUUCAAAAUUGUCUUGGUAAGUUUUUAAUUAUGGCUGAAGAUAUGUUUAAUUCAAGCUCGUCAAAUUCUUCUCAUGAUAAUAUUGACGUGGAUACUAUUGGUGUUCAUAACACGAAGCAAUCGCAUAUUAAUGUUUUAAAAAGUCCAUAUGAGGGUCAUAUUUUUUCUACUAUCCAAGAGGCGGAAGAAUUUUAUAGAACAUAUACACGGAGUAGUGUAUUUGAAAUAAAAAUUGGGGCAACUCAUAAAUAUGCUCACUCCAAUAAUUUGUCCAACCGACUUUUUACAUGUAAGAAAGCUAGAAAACCAAUUAAAAGAAGGAAACAAGAUGAUGAAGUUGAUGGUAGUAAGGUCAAAAGGAAAAGGGAUUCUAUAGGUCAGACGAUGUGCAAAGCUAGAAUGUUUGUUGUUCAUCUAAAGAAUGAAGAUACUUGGAAAGUUUCAAAAAUUGAGCUGACUCACAAUCAUGAUUUGGUGACUCCGAGCAAGAAAAAUUUCAUUCAAACACAGAAAAAUAUUACUCCUGUUGCUCGAAGUUUAAUCGGAACUUUCACAAGGGCUGGAGUUGGGCCAAGUAAAAUGAUGAAUGUAUUUAGUGAAAUAGGAGGAGGGGUGGAAUAUGUCGGUUUCAGUGAUAAGGAUAUUUGGAAUGUUGUACGAGAUAUAAGACAUGACACAAUAGAUUCAAAUGAUGCCCAAGCAGCGUUGCAGUUCCUGAAAAAACUCUCGGCAGAAAAUCCCCUAUUUUUUUUCGAUAUCAAACGAGAUGAAGAUAAUCGCAUCGAAUGCAUCUUGUGGAUAGAUUAUCGAUCAAUGAUAGCUUACAAAAAUUUUGGGGAUGUGGUGACAUUUGAUACAACUUAUCAAACGAACAAGUAUUCUAUGCCAUUUGUUCCGUUCACGGGAGUAAAUCAUCAUUAUCAUUCCAUCUUGUUUGGUUUUGCACUGAUUCAGGAUGAAACAGAGGAUACUUUUGUAUGGGUUUUUGAAACUUGGCUUCAAGCGAUGAACAACAAGGCACCGAUUACCAUUAUCACUGAUCAGGACAAAGCUAUAAGCAAUGCGAUUGCUAAGGUUCUUCCUGAAACACACCAUGUACUUUGCACAUGGCAUAUUAGCAACAAAUUUCCACAGAAAUUACAUACAUUGUAUGAAUAGUACCCAACAUUUAAACAUGAUUUUAAUUGUUGUGUUUAUAAAUCUUUGACUGUUGCGAAUUUCGAGGAGCGGUGGAAAAAGUUAAUGAUAGAUUACGAACUACAUGACCAUGAUUGGCUCCAAUCACUUUAUGCGGUUAAGUACAAAUGGAUCAAGGCGUACACAAAUAAUUUUUUUGCAGCAGGAAUGACGACUACAUCCAGGAGUGAGGGAAUGAACAGUUUGUUCGAUGACUAUAUGAAUGUCACAACAAGUAUCAAGGAAUUUAUUGUAAAUACACAAAAAGCACUUGAGAAGCAGGUUAUGAGAGAGAGAAAAGCUGACUACGCCUAAAGGAUCGAGUUUGGUAUAUCCGUCGUCGAGUAAUUUCUUUAUACCAUGUCAUAUAAUCCUUGGUAGAUAUAUACUGCAAAGCCUCCAACACUUGUCCUUCUAAACUCUCCAUGUAUGCAUCCCACAAUCGAAUAUAGUUAGCCCUAUGGUUUUCAAAAUUUAUUCUUUCAAAUAAUUUAUGUUCCUUCCGCAAUUCCACCAUAUUUUCAGCAUUAGAUGGAUACGACUGCAAAUAUCCAAAUUGCCUCAUAAAUCUGUCAGGCAUUUAGAACUCAACAAUGUCGUAAUGUAUCAAUGGUAUACGAGCGGCUCCACCUAACCUUGCCUCAAAAAAAUCCCAAGACAAACGUCUAUCAAAUAUCUGAUAUGGACGCCACACCCCAUUUAUUUCCAACAUAUUAUCAAACUCUCCUCGAUAAAAUAGAAGAUGGUGAUGUGGAUUUUUAAGCCGCUGAUAUUGUUUUGAAUUAGGAUCAAAAGAGGAGUAUGCCCAUGAUAAUGCCCUAGGUAUCAGCUUUUAGGACAUAAGCUUAGGGGUAGGACAACCAAUGUUGAACCGUUCAUGAGCCCACAUCAUAAGAAGGGUUGCACAACCUGCGAAUUUUUUCGUUGUUUUGCGAGUAGCCUCAUACAAACCUCUAUACAAAUGCCCUAAGACUGCCGCCCCCCAAGCAUAUGUAACUACGUCUUCCAAUCUCUCCAAUAAUACCAAAUAUCUAGGAUGCACAACAUUUUUACUCUUGGUUGGAAACAAAAUAGCGCCACACAAGUACAACAGAUAUGCCUUAGUGUGUUUUACGACAUCAUCUAGAGUUGCAUUACCAGGUACUUGACCAUAUCUCUGUCUUAACCAUGGCAAACUUAUGCCCCCCCUUUUAUAGCAUUAUUCCCACUCAUCUACUAUAACUUGUUGCCCAAAACCCCUUAUAAAAUAGCUUUUUGGAUUUUCUAAUUCUCUGCAAGUCAAAGCUUUUCCUAAUACGGGCAAACCAAAUAAAAAUCCCACAUCCUCUAAAGAAAUGCUAAUCUCUCCACAAUUUAAGUGAAACGUAUUUGUUUCACUUCUCCAACGUUCAACUAAAGCAGAUACAAGAGAUGCAUCAAUCUUUGACACUAUAGCUUGAUGGCAAAAUAUACCAAAACCUACUUGUUCCAGCAAAUAUUCUUGUUGUUCAGUCAAGUUCCAUUCAAUUAAUUUUGCAGACAUUUGACAAAUUUCCAACACACCCCUAUCCUACACGUCCAACAUAAAAACAUAAAUCGUCACAACAUGAAUGUUUAUAACAAAUGUUUAACAAAAUGAAAGUUGUUAUACAUUAAUAAACUUAUAAUAUUUUGCCAUAAGUCUGACGAUACGUGAUUUUCUUGAUUCUAUAACACAAUAGGAUUAGCAGGUCCGGGAUUAAUAUCCAUAUGUUUCCUACACAUUUAUCAAAAUGUCGAGUAUUAAAUAAUAUAUAAAAAUUCCCAUCAAAAAUGAUAUGAGCAGCUGAAUCAAUUUCACAGUCUAGGGAUUGAGCCUCAAAGAAGUGAGAAUCAACAUAAGGAGGUCAUAAGGAGUACAUGUACAAAAAAAUAAUCUUGGUGCAGCUCCCAUAAAUAGACACAAUUCAAAACUAGGAACUUCAGAAACUUAUCAGCCUAUUAUUACAUGAUCAGCCAAAAAAAACAACAAAACAAGUGGUUUCUAACUUAAUUUUCAUCCAACCGAACUCCAUGAUGAUUAAACUUUCAAAGUAAGUCUUCAGAUUAUAAAUGAAAAAUUAAAAAUGGAAUCACAACAAUGUAGUGAUGCCCCUAGUAACAAAGAUCAAAACAACACAAAAUGAAGAAACAAAAUGACAGAAUUGCGUUAGGGCAAUCUGUUGAUGUUCAAGACAGAUACAAAAGCAAAAUUACCUGGUUAAUCGCUUAAGGGUUUUGACAAUUUGACAGAUGAAUCGGCCGAAAAAGGAUAGAGGCUUGCAAUCGGUCAGAAAUAGCAGUCGCAGGGAGGGUUAAGUCUUCAACAGUCGGAGGGAGGGAUUAGGCCAAGUCGCAGAGAGGGAACAGGCCUUCAACAGUCGCGGGGAGGGUUUAGGCUCUGAAAUCGUAGCAGCAGAACUUUCUCUCAGGGAGGGUUUAGGCUUUGAAAUCGCAGCAGCAGAGUUUAGGCUUUGAAAUCGCAGCCGCAGAUCUAUCGGAGGGAGGGAAUAUGAGUCGAAGGGAGGUCGGACGGAGGGAGGGAAUAUGAUUCGAAGGGAGGUCAAACGGAGGGUUUAUGCGAAGUUGAAGGUUUAGGGAGUCGAAGGUUUAGGGGGUCUGAAGUAUUCAGUCGAAGGUUUAGGGGGUCUGUAGAAUUCUGUCGAAUGUUUAGUUAGGGUCUGGAAUCGUCCGCUACUUCAAGUAGCCUAUGGGAUGAGGGAAAAUUCGGUUGAAAUUUUUCUAAUUGACGUCCGCUAGACGAACUGGCGAACGGGGAGCUCCAUUUUUUAAUCUGCGCCCUUAAUUAAUGGGAUGAACGGUUAUGAUGCUAUUUGCCCAAUUCUCAUCCAUAGAAAAUACUUGCUAUGGAUCAUCUCCCAUAUAUAUCUCCCAUAUAUAUAUAUAUAUAUAUAUAUACAGAAAACUAAGAGUGAGAAAUUUUUGAGGCCGACCUUUAACGCAUAAUCCUUAUGCCAAAUCAACAGCUCUGAUUUCCAAAAGCUUGAAUGUCUAUCUCCUUCGCUUCAGAGCCGUAUAUGAGUUUUGGUGUGUUAAGAACG
rnacentral:lncRNA from 1 species